AGGCAGCAGUGAGGAAUAUUGGGCAAUGGGGGCAAGCCUGACCCAGCCACCCCGCGUGAGGGAAGAAGGCUUUCGGGUUGUAAACCUCUUUCCUUGGAGACGAAAAAAAUGACGGUAGCCAAGGAGGAAGCCCCGGCUAACUACGUGCCAGCAGCCGCGGUAAUACGUAGGGGGCGAGCGUUUUUCGGAAUUAUUGGGGGUAAAGGGGGGGUAGGGGGCCUUUUAAAUUGGAUGUGAAAUCCCCGGGGUUAACUUGGGGGGUGCCUUUAAUACUGGCGGGGUUGAGUGCAGGAGAGGGAAGGGGAAUUUCUAGUGUAGCGGUGAAAAGUGUAGAUAUUUGGGGGAACACCCGUGGGGAAGGCGGCUUUCUGGACUGUAACUGACCCUGAGGCACGAAAGCGUGGGGAGCAAACAGGAUUAGAUACCCCGGUAGUCCCCCCCGUAAACGAUGAAUACUAGGUGUAGGGGGUAUCAACUCCCUCUGUGCCGCAGCUAACGCAAUAAGUAUCCGCUGG
rnacentral:rRNA from 1 species